rnacentral:rRNA from 1 species
UGCCAGCAGCCGCGGUAAUACGGCGGGUGCAAGCGUUAAUCGGAAUUACUGGGCGUAAAGCGCACGCAGGCGGUUUGUUAAGCUAGAUGUGAAAGCCCCGGGCUCAACCUGGGAUGGUCAUUUAGAACUGACAGACUAGAGUCUUGGAGAGGGGAGUGGAAUUCCAGGUGUAGCGGUGAAAUGCGUAGAUAUCUGGAGGAACAUCAGUGGCGAAAGCGACUCACUGGGCCGUCUCUGACGCUGAGGUACGAAAGCGUGGGGAGCAAACAGGAUUAGAUA